UAACUACAAACGUGAACACAAAUGCACAUUGUGAACCCAAAGUGUUCACAAAGGAACACUUUGUGACUUUCAUGGACACCACGUUAAAUGGUGGUCCUUCCCACCAUGGACUUGGAUGUUAGACCAAUGUAACUACUCUCAAAACUAUAACCUCAACCAGGGAACUUGGUUCUGAUAGGUUCAGCAAGUUUUCCACCUCGAGGUCUCUCACGUGCUCUUUCUAGACUAUUACAUGUCAACUUCAAAUCCCCACCAAGCAUUAACAAUCUCUGCUGUGGUUGGCAUUACUGUGAGACAGGACUCACUGUGGACGAUUUUGAACAAGCUCAAAACAUUGUGAUUCGAGCAGUACAACAGGAUGUGUAUUCUGAAGAAAUCAGGUGUGAACAAAAACAUGAGAAGUUAGCCAAAAUCAGUUCUCUCAAGAACAUAGACCCUUAUCUGGAUGAGAAUGAACUCCUCAGAGUAGGUCACAUCACUGACUCAAACUUGACUCAUGGUGAAAAGAACCCACUUCUAGUUUCAGGAAGUGGUUAAUAACAAAGACGCAAGGUGAAAAUAUUUAGUUCUCUUCAUAAAGCACCACCACAGUCAGGUUCAUCAUCAAGGCCACUUGUUUACAGAAGGAGCAAUACGCUCUGCAGAAUGGUGGAUCGUGGAUGGCAAAAGAAAGGUGAGCACAAUCAUCUACAAUUGUGUAACCUGCAAAAGACUUCAUACUCCAAUGAGCACACACAAAAUGUCAAACCUUUUUCCAGAUCGUCUUGCAAUGGACCCUCCAUUCACCAAUGUAGGCUUAGAUGCGUUUGGCCCAUGGAUGGACACUACCAGAGGAAGUGUGAACCAAAACAAAAGGUGGGCUGUCAUUUUCACAUGCCUGAGUAUUAGAGCAGUUCACAUCCAGGCGAUAGACUCACUUGACACAUCCAGCUUUAUUAACGCAUUUAGACGGUUUCUGGCUAUAAGAGGACCUGUAAAACCUAUUUGUUCUGAUCGGGGUACCGAUUUUGUCAGUGCAUGUAAGAAACUGAAGAUCCCCUCAAACUUGGACAAGGAAGUUCUACAAACCUACUUAAAAGAAAAUGGAUGUACUUGGACUUAUAACCAGCCACAUGCUUCUCAUUUUGGUGGGUAGAGGGAAAAAAUGAUAGGCCUGUCCUGGAAAAUAUUGGACUCUAUGUUUUUCAAACUCAAGACCACAAACUUGUCACCUUCAUGGCAGAGGUGGCAGCUAUUAUAAAUGCUAGACGUCUUGUCCCAGUUUCUUCAGACUUAAGAGACGCUUUCAUCUUGACCCUACCUACUCUUCUAACCCAGAAGAUUGUACCUCUUAAGGCUCCAACUGGUAACUUCACUGCAUCAGACAUUUACAGACACCAGUGGCGUCAGGUGCAGCACCUGUCAAACAUCUUCUGGGACAAAUGGAAGAAAAAGUUCCUUUCUACUCUCCAGUUACGUCGCAAGUGGCAAUCGAGCCAUCCAAAUUGUGAGUAUAGGAAAUGUCGUCGUACUCAAAGACAGUCAAGUACCAAGAAAUGAAUGGCCUCUUGGACUCAUAACUCAGGUGUUUCCAAGUAAAGAUGAUAAAAUACAUAAACUAGAAGUUAAGGUAGCCAAAGCAGAUGGCUCAAAGUUGUUUGUAAGACCUAUCUCAGAAAUAGUCGUUUUGGUUCCUUCAUAAGAUACAUUGAUUCUGCUAAACACUUAGUUUGCGGCUUUUAUUCACGCCAGAUGGGGAGUGUUCUGUUACGAAGUUGUAUGUAUUAUGUUUACAGUAAUUAAGUUCAUUUAUGUAAGUCAAAAAGGGGGAAAGCCUGCCCUCAUCUGUUCUUUUCAGGAAUUACAAUCUAGCAAUCUUUUGUUGUUUUGAAAUAAACUUUAUUGAACAGCGGUAGCAUUCAAGGAAAUUACUUAAUGUUGUGUUGUUGGUAGCUUAGAUCUACACAUAUAGACGUUUGGCAGAAACUCAGUGAGGUCCAGUCGAGUGAAUCUGCAGACAUCUUUCGUUUAUGGUCACAUUGCUGAUAUGUUUUGUGAAAAUAAUCAUGUAGGAUUGUUUCUGUGCUAGAUGUAGCUUCCUAAUGGGCUAUUUCACUGUGAAUAUGUUUUCUUUCUUGUGUAAUUUAGGGUAAUUGGGAAAUUACUUAAUGUGAUGUUGGUAGCCUAGAUCUACACAUAUAGAUGUUCUGCAGAAACUCAGUGUAAAAGUGUAAUUUAUUCUGCACAUACUCAUAUAUUUACUGUAUCUUUUGUCUUGUUUUCAGUUUCACCCUUUUGAUUGUCAAUAAAUCUGCUGACAACGGUCUUCGGUCUUCAGAGUUUUGAUAUGAGAAAGGUGUUAGCUAGCCUUUGCAUCAGUAACGGCACACUAACAGUAGGCUGAAUAAAUGACAGUGAAUGAAUGAAUGGGGAUGAGAUUUGUAUUUAUCUGUGAGAACAGUCACGGAAGAGGCAUAAUUUGGAGAUCAGAUCGCACAUGCGUUGAUACUGCAGUGAAGUUAGUUUCAAGUUGUAUAUUGGAUAUUUGCACUCCGCAAAGUAAGCGGCGUUUAGCUCAAGGUUGAUCUGCUUUAUGAACGAAAGAAAAAUUGUAUGUGUGUGUGAUAUUUUAAUAGUGUAUAUGCGCAAUCUUAGUCUUUGGUGUGCGUGUGAGAAAGAAAAAUUGUAUGCCUGUGUGACAAUUUAAUAGUGUAUAUGCGCAAUUUUGUGUGUGUAUGAGUCUUUAGUAGUAUGUGAGACAAAACAGUUUUUGUCCUAAAUGGCCCCUCAUAAUAAACAGUGCAAAACAUAUAUAAACUAACUUACAUUGGUUUCAAAAAUAGUUAUUUAAAAAAUUUUAUUGUGAUUUCUAUGAUUGCUAUAACAGUCAUUGAACUUCGUGUUAUAACGGUAUGGAGGCUGUUUGUUGCGACUUAAUAUAAUUUUCUUCAUAAACUGGUUUUAAUUAAGCUCAGUUUGCCAACGAGACUUUGAUAUCGUGAGGCUGCUGUUAUAAAUCGUUCAUCAUUGUUUUUAUCUUCAACAUAUUUUUGCAGUCUAAGCAAAUGAAGAUGAAAGAGGGAGCCAGGGAUCAGGUAUUAGAAAAACUAAAGACUUUCCUGUCUUAGAAGAGGCCCUGGCUCCACCAGAUCACCAACCAGUUCUGAGGAUGAACCUCCACAUCGUCUACAUGGUGGAAGGCUUUUUAUUUUUUACUGAGCAGCUGGCUACAUUUUUAACAACAGCUAAAACUGCUUUCAGAGUCUGAGAUGGACUGGUGACCUGUCCAGGGUGAACCCCACCUCUUGUCUGAUGACUGCUGGAGAUAGGCACCACCAGCCCCCCUCACCACCCUGCAAGGAUCAGUGUGUUCAGAUCAUGGAUGGAAAGAUUUUAAGCAAAGAAGACACCUGGAAAUGUUUUUCCACCCCAGGCAUCCGGUCCCAAUAAUCAUCAGUUCUGAUGAUGUCACAUUCAUAUCAAGUCCACAACUUCUUAAAAUUGUUUCUGUAAACUGCAGUGAAUGGGAAUGUUCUGUCAUUGUUCCUCAUUGUUCUUGGAAGGAGAAAUGUCAGUUUAUCUGGAGUAAUACUGCAAUACUGUGACACUGAAUUAAAACAAUACUGUCCUUGUCACAUUUUCUCUAAAGUGUACCUGUUGUAUUGUUGUGUUUAUUGUGCUAUUUUACAUAAGCAUGUUGUCUGUAAACUUUUAAUUUAUUGACAAUUUGUCAAUAAAUAAAUAAAUAAUUCUGUGAUACU